AUGUUCCUGUGGUUAAAUUUGGUGUCCUUUCUAGCAAUCCUCAGAAAUGUCCGACCUGAGAUCCAGCUGGUGGAGUCUGGAGGAGGUGUGCGGAGUCCUGGGGAGUCCCUCCGUCUCUCCUGCCAAGCCUCUGGAUUCACCGUCAGCAGCUAUUACAUGGACUGGAUGAGACAGGCUCCAGGAAAAGGAUUGGAAUGGGUGGCACACAUAAGCACUGGUUCACUUACUUACUACUCAGAUAAAGCCAAGGGACGCUUCAGCAUCACCAGAGACAAUGCCAAAAGCCAGCUGUAUCUCCAAAUGAACGGCCUCAAACCCGAAGACACAGCAAUUUAUUACUGUACAACAGACACAGUGAGAGGAAGUGAAUCUGAAGCUUGGCAUAAAACCCUAAAAUUCAUCGGGACAGCUCUGCUAGUCAAUUCAGCCUCAGAAGGCUGCCUUUUACUUCAAUGA